rnacentral:rRNA from 1 species
CCUACGGGAGGCAGCAGUGAGGAAUAUUGGUCAAUGGGCGCGAGCCUGAACCAGCCAAGUCGCGUGAGGGAAGACGGUCCUAUGGAUUGUAAACCUCUUUUGUCGGGGAGCAAAAGACGCCACGCGUGGCGUUCCGAGAGUACCCGAAGAAAAAGCAUCGGCUAACUCCGUGCCAGCAGCCGCGGUAAUACGGAGGAUGCGAGCGUUAUCCGGAUUUAUUGGGUUUAAAGGGUGAGCAGGCGGAAGAUCAAGUCAGCGGUAAAAUUGAGAGGCUCAACCUCUUAGAGCCGUUGAAACUGGUUGUCUUGAGUGAGUGAGAAGUAUGCGGAAUGCGUGGUGUAGCGGUGAAAUGCAUAGAUAUCACGCAGAACUCCGAUUGCGAAGGCAGCAUACCGGCGCUCAACUGACGCUCAUGCACGAAAGUGUGGGUAUCGAACAGGAUUAGAUACCCGGGUAGUC